rnacentral:rRNA from 1 species
UGGGGAAUAUUGCACAAUGGGCGCAAGCCUGAUGCAGCCAUGCCGCGUGUAUGAAGAAGGCCUUCGGGUUGUAAAGUACUUUCAGCGGGGAGGAAGGGAGUAAAGUUAAUACCUUUGCUCAUUGACGUUACCCGCAGAAGAAGCACCGGCUAACUCCGUGCCAGCAGCCGCGGUAAUACGGAGGGUGCAAGCGUUAAUCGGAAUUACUGGGCGUAAAGCGCACGCAGGCGGUUUGUUAAGUCAGAUGUGAAAUCCCCGGGCUCAACCUGGGAACUGCAUCUGAUACUGGCAAGCUUGAGUCUCGUAGAGGGGGGUAGAAUUCCAGGUGUAGCGGUGAAAGGCGUAGAGAUCCGGAGGAAUACCGGUGGCGAAGGCGGCCCCCUGGACGAAGACUGACGCUCAGGUGCGAAAGCGUGGGGAGCAAACAGG